AUGCGCCUCUUUCGGCUCCAGGGCAAGGGGCGGCGGGGCACCCGGGGCUCCUCAAGGGCAACCUGCGGGGGAUCCGAGGAGCGGGCGGGGGGCGUGCCACGAACACGGGUGGGAGGCUGCCCCCUCGCGAUCCGCGGCCCCCAGCGGGGCACAUCCCCUGUGCCGCCCCCCCGGGGCGGUGCGGGGGCCGCGGACAGGUGUGGGCCGGCAGGGGGGCGGGCGGCGGGGCGGGGGCGGCCGGGUUUGUGUGUAGGCAGCCGGGCGGCGCUGCCCCCCGUGCGGCGGCGGCGGCGGCGGCGGCGGCGGCAGCGGGAGCCGCGGCCCCGCGAUAAAAGGGAAGGGGCCGGGCGCUGCGCGCUGCGGCGGCACCAGCAGGGAAGGAGGGAGGGGACCGGGGAAGGAGCAGGAGGGUUGUGCCGAGAGGAGAGACACCGCCCGCCCGGCUGUCCGUCCGUCCGUCCGUCCAUCCAUCCUCCCGGAGGAAUCCCGGGCGGCCCCCCCUUCUCCCUCCCGGCGGGAGGCGGCCGCGCAUCGAGGAGGAGCCGCUGCCGCCGCCUCAUCCAUCCUGCGGCACCGGCCGGCGCUGCCAGGAGCCCGGCGAGCGCAGGUGGCAGUGUAGAAGCCAAGAACAAAAAUUGGCAGAAAUUAUGUUCUGUAUACAAGAAAAUGAAGAGAGUGUACUCAUGACUAAGCACAGGAACCUGGAAAACCACAGGAUUCCUGGGAAGCCAUGGAGGAUGGAACAAACUCAGAGCUGGAGCCUGAAGAGUUCUUGGAACUUGUGUAUGGGAAGUUACCCUG
rnacentral:lncRNA from 1 species